rnacentral:rRNA from 1 species
UACGGGGGGGGCAAGCGUUGUUCGGAAUUACUGGGCGUAAAGGGCUCGUAGGUGGCCAACUAAGUCAGACGUGAAAUCCCUCGGCUUAACCGGGGAACUGCGUCUGAUACUGGAUGGCUUGAGUUUGGGAGAGGGAUGCGGAAUUCCAGGUGUAGCGGUGAAAUGCGUAGAUAUCUGGAGGAAUACCGGUGGCGAAGGCGGCAUCCUGGACCGGCAUUGACGCUGAGGAGCGAAAGCGAGGGGAGCAAACGGG